rnacentral:rRNA from 1 species
CACGUGGGCAACCUGCCCUGUAGAUUGGGAUAACUCCGGGAAACCGGGGCUAAUACCGAAUAAUCCUUCGGACCUCAUGGUCCGAUGUUGAAAGACGGCAUACCGCUGUCACUACAGGAUGGGCCCGCGGCGCAUUAGCUAGUUGGUGAGGUAACGGCUCACCAAGGCGACGAUGCGUAGCCGACCUGAGAGGGUGAUCGGCCACACUGGGACUGAGACACGGCCCAGACUCCUACGGGAGGCAGCAGUAGGGAAUCUUCCACAAUGGACGAAAGUCUGAUGGAGCAACGCCGCGUGAGU